rnacentral:lncRNA from 1 species
CCUGGGUUCAAGCAAUCUGCCUGCCUUGGCCUCCCAAAGUGUUGAAAAUUACAGGCAUGAGUCACCACACUUAGACUGGACUUUCUUUCUUCACCCAUCUCCAUCUCUUUCUUCUCAAAGUCAAAAGCGUUAGAGGAAAGAGAUAGAGAUAAUAAAAACGAAAUGCCAAUAUUUGUUUUCAGCUCUUUUAGCAAGCACCUCAUGAUAAAAAUACCGUUUAAGGAGAGAAGUUACCACAUACUGAUUAGAACUAUAAAAGUCUAACAGUCCUGCAGGUGUCACAAUUUCAAAUACUUAUAAGGAAACUUAUAGGCAAACUAAAUGAAUGAAGCAGGUAAGAUAGAGGACUUACAUCAAGUAGAACUUGCUAUCUCUGUUAUCUCUCUCUACUUCUGAGUUAUUUUUAACUCGGAACUUUUGCUUUGGUGUUCUGCAAUUUAUCUACAUAUGGCAGGAUAUAUAUUUAGCUUUAUUUAUUCUGCUCAGGAUCCAUUGUGAAUCUGAAGAGUCGUAUAUUUUUUGAAACUCCAGAAAACUCAAAUUUAGUAUCAUUUUAAACAUUGCUUCUCUCCAAUCAUAUUAUCUAUUUCUGGAACCCCUAUUAUAUAUACAUGAGACUUAUUUAUUGUACUUAAAAUUUUUUAGCCUGGUUUUUAUAUUUUACAUCUUUUCUCUGUGUAAUGAUUUUUCAUCAAUUUACUCAGUGCUACCUUUUAUUUCCCUAAUUCUCUCUUCAGCUUUAUCUCAUCUGCAGUUUAACCAACCAUUCAAUUUUUAUAUUUUAACAAUUAUAAGUUUCAUUGUCAGAAAUUUUAACUUCCUUUUUUAAUGCUUUUUUGUCAUUUUUAUACCAUAUUUUAUUUUACUUUUCUGCCCUAACUUUACCUCUUGGACCUCAUAUUUUACUACCCCUACUAUUCCUACUCUCACUCAGACUUACUCAGCCACACAGCCUUCCUACUGUUUUCACAGUUACUACUUCAGGGCCUUUGCACGUUGGAUUUUCCCUGCCUGGAAUGUUCAUCCUUCAGAUAUACAGCUGACUUACACCCUUACCUCCUUUAGCUUCAAGUAUCCUUUUCUCAGUGAGGCUCUCCCUGAUCUCCAAGGUAUUAAUAAAAUUUAAAUCACACUUUUACCCAGAGCUCCCUACCCACCCCUCCUGCUUUAUUUCCAUUCAUUGCACAUUUCAGUAUAAAACAUAUUUUGCUUAUUUUGCUUUAUAUCUGUCUCUUACAACUAGAAUAUAAAUUUUAUAAAGACAGUGAAGGGGGGAUGGCAGUGGUGAAUUUUUGUAUUCCCAGUAACUAGAAAAAUGCCUGACAUAAUUUGUUCCUUGAAAAAUCUUAGUUAAGUAAAAUAAACAUGUGUCAUUGAAUGGUCUUCCUUAUUCUUUCUUCUUUAAUCCUUUAAACAUAAUUUCUAAUCUAGUCUAAUAAUUCUAUUAUAUGAAAUUCUUGAAGGUCUAAUGCAGCUAUUUGUGUUUUAAGAUGAAUCUAUGUGUUGUGAAAUUUGGGGUUUUGCUGUUGUUGUUUUAAUCUGAAGAGCUUUAUAUCCAGUGGGGCAGAGGGGACUUCACUCACAUAAUAUGCAUUUAUGUCUUAUUUUUAUAUUUUUUUCUACAGGAAUCUUUCAAGGCCUGGGUUGAGGAUCUCUUCAGAGAGGUCUAGCUAUUGAUCCCAGGGUGCUAUCAGCCUGUGAUCAUUUGUUAUGUUCAUUUCCUAGUUUGCUGGGACACUAGUGGAAUUUUAAUUACACACCCAGACCAUGGGAAGUUCUACGUCUAUGCUUUGAAAGCCACAGAUAAGCAUAUAAUGUUUCAAUGUGGAGAAGUGAGCAUUGGAUUGAAAUCGGAAUACCUGAGUUAUAUUUUUCACUUUCUCCCUAACACAACUGAACAUUGGACAAGACGCUAAAUUCCUCUGGAUCUCUGUUCUUUCAUCUGAAAAAAGAAUUCUCCAUUUGUAGACUAUGGUCCAUUCCAUCUCCAACAUUUUAUGAAUCCUGUGAGUCCACCUAAUUCAUUUUUCUGAUUUAACAGAUGAAAAAACUAAAACAUAGAGAGAUGAAAUGAUUUGCUUAGGGUCAUAUAAUUAGCCAAUGUCCAAACUGAAAAUAAGAGCAGGUUUCUUAUUCCUAGUCCAGCCUACUGUUCUACUACAGCUGAUAGUUGUCAGAGGAGUUUGUGGACGGUGGUAAUCCUUGCAAGAAUAAUUUUCAACUAUUGACAAAGAAAAAAAAAUUCUAGUGAUUUGGGGGAAAAAUGUAAUUUUCUUAUUUGAAUGUGUCACCAUUUUAAAGAGUAUAUUUCUACAGAGAGUUAAGUCAAAGAACUAAUUAUGCAUUGUCUCACAUUAUGUAAGAGCAUUAUACAACUCAAUUAGAACUGACAAUAAAACAACUUCCAGGCAAGAUCUUCUGAAUUGCCCUUAUUUCUCUUUUAAAAUCACUGAAGCAAAAUCACGUUCCAAUUCAAAUAUUCUGAAAGUCUAUCCAGCCUAUACACAUUCCCCUGCAGCAUUUUUACUCUCUUCCUAGGUUUUAGCAAAGAAACAUUUCUGUUUACUUCUGUAACUCCUGUGAGGGCAUGGAAAUUCUAAGUGCCAUUAUUUUCUGGGUAAGAGAAUAAGAAAAUGCAUUUCAAUUUUUUUAAAACCCAGAACCAGGCUUCAAUUUUUAAUUAGAAAGUCAUAACUUAUUUUAAAAGAAUGAACGAAAGUAUUUUUGUUUAUAAAAAUAUUCUAUUCCAAACAAAAAAUACAAGAAAAGAACUUAGCCCUGAACCCCAUCUCAUGUAUUUCAGUAAUCAUUUAAAUAAAGGUUUCCACCAG